rfam:Trachymyrmex septentrionalis contig23986, whole genome shotgun sequence.
AUAACGGCCCUUUUCAGGACCACACAAAGUACCACGACAGCUCUCU